AGGACUUCCCAAGAGUGUCCCAUGGAACCUGAGUUCUAAGGACGGUACAUGAAAAAAAUCAACAUGGGUUCCAUGAUCAAAGAAGUUUGGGAAAUGGGCUAAAUGAAAGGACUUCCAAGGCCUUUUAUCUGCUAAUGAGAAAGAACAAGCCCUGUGAAAAACAAGCUGCUGUCCCUGCUAGAGGCAUCCUGCAAUCCAUGGAUGUUUAUCACCAAGCCAUUGUUAACAUGAGGUGGUUUCCAAAAGGAAAAGCUUUGGGAGAUAGAAGUCCUCGUUUUGACCUCUGCCCUCCUUGUACACCAGGAGCCAGAAAAACUUCAUCUCUUUUACAAGAAACAUUGAGAUUCCUGUAAAAUUAAGAAAUCACACAAUUUGAUGGUCUACAUUAUCUAAAGCAAAUGAGACUUCUAUUUGGAACAAAGACUACCUUGUUGGGAAAUGAGUCUGCAAGUUAAAGUGUUUUCUGGCACCUGUGCAAUUGUUUCCUACUACCCUGCGUGCUGCUUAAGUCUGAUGAAGACAUUCUUCUUUGGAGUCUGACAUUAGGU
rnacentral:lncRNA from 10 species